rnacentral:rRNA from 1 species
UACGAAGGGGGCUAGCGUUGCUCGGAAUCACUGGGCGUAAAGGGUGCGUAGGCGGGUCUUUUAAGUCAGGGGUGAAAUCCUGGAGCUCAACUCCAGAACUGCCUUUGAUACUGAAGAUCUUGAGUUCGGGAGAGGUGAGUGGAACUGCGAGUGUAGAGGUGAAAUUCGUAGAUAUUCGCAAGAACACCAGUGGCGAAGGCGGCUCACUGGCCCGAUACUGACGCUGAGGCACGAAAGCGUGGGGAGCAAACAGGGA